UACGUAGGGUGCAAGCGUUGUCCGGAAUUAUUGGGCGUAAAGAGCUCGUAGGCGGUCUGUUGCGUCCGCUGUGAAACUCGGGGCUUAACCCCGAGCCUGCAGUGGAUACGGGCAGACUAGAGGUAGGUAGGGGAGAAUGGAAUUCCCGGUGUAGAGGUGAAAUUCGUAGAUAUCGGGAGGAACACCGGUGGCGAAGGCGGCGAUCUGGGUCGAUACUGACGCUGAGGUGCGAAAGCGUGGGGAGCAAACAGG
rnacentral:rRNA from 1 species